rnacentral:rRNA from 1 species
AUUGAACGCUGGCGGCAUGCCUUACACAUGCAAGUCGAACGGCAGCACGGGUGCUUGCACCUGGUGGCGAGUGGCGAACGGGUGAGUAAUACAUCGGAACAUGUCCUGUAGUGGGGGAUAGCCCGGCGAAAGCCGGAUUAAUACCGCAUACGAUCUACGGAUGAAAGCGGGGGACCUUCGGGCCUCGCGCUAUAAGGUUGGCCGAUGGCUGAUUAGCUAGUUGGUGGGGUAAAGGCCUACCAAGGCGACGAUCAGUAGCUGGUCUGAGAGGACGACCAGCCACACUGGGACUGAGACACGGCCCAGACUCCUACGGGAGGCAGCAGUGGGGAAUUUUGGACAAUGGGCGAAAGCCUGAUCCAGCAAUGCCGCGUGUGUGAAGAAGGCCUUCGGGUUGUAAAGCACUUUUGUCCGGAAAGAAAUCCUUGGCCCUAAUACGGUCGGGGGAUGACGGUACCGGAAGAAUAAGCACCGGCUAACUACGUG